GAGGAUCACCAGCCAACUCUCCAAAUUGACAUUAUUAUCUUCAAGUAGUAGUGUCUGCUUACCUCCCCUGAGUCGAAGCUACUAUGUCUACAAGGAUCCCAACUACAAACACUUCAGACCUAAUUUUGCCUUCAAACGGAAACAUUAUAUACCGAAAUUCAAGAAGGCCAGAUCUUUGAAGGUCAUCAAAUUGGAUCUUCCAAACCUUAAUGAAAAAAAGUGUGGAAGAAAUGACUUCUGAUGAAA